rnacentral:rRNA from 1 species
GACGAACGCUGGCGGCGUGCCUAACACAUGCAAGUCGAACGGGGUCAGCCCUUCGGGACUGACUUAGUGGCGAACGGGUGAGUAACGCGUGAGGAACCUGCCUCUCAGUGGGGGACAACAGUUGGAAACGACUGCUAAUACCGCAUAAUGUAUUUCAUGGGCAUCCUUGAAAUACCAAAGAUUUAUUGCUGAGAGAUGGCCUCGCGUCUGAUUAGAUAGUUGGUGGGGUAACGGCCCACCAAGUCGACGAUCAGUAGCCGGUCUGAGAGGAUGAACGGCCACAUUGGGACUGAGAUACGGCCCAGACUCCUACGGGAGGCAGCAGUGGGGAAUAUUGGGCAAUGGGGGAAACCCUGACCCAGCAACGCCGCGUGAAGGAAGAAGGCCUUCGGGUUGUAAACUUCUUUACCUAGGACGAAGAAGUGACGGUACCUAGGAGAAAAAGACAACGGCGUAACUACGUG